rnacentral:lncRNA from 1 species
UAGCUAUUCGUGCAAGGGGAAGUCGAGCUUGCUCAGACGCUCGAUCUGUUUGAUCAUGUACAAUACAUGAUCGGUGAUCGAUGCUCCCUCCCUCAUUCGAGCAUUGAAAAUGGCAAACUAGUCUUGUGUCGCUCAACAUCAUUGGGAGUAUCAAAGGACUCUCUUAAUACCUUGAGCAUCUCCUCUGGUUGAGCCUCUUCAAACUUUCGAUUGAACUCAUCGUUCAUUGAGGCCCGC